rnacentral:rRNA from 1 species
AACGAACGCUGGCGGCAGGCUUAACACAUGCAAGUCGAACGCACCCUUCGGGGUGAGUGGCAGACGGGUGAGUAACGCGUGGGAAUCUACCCAGCCCUUCGGAAUAGCUCCGGGAAACUGGAAUUAAUACCGAGUACGCCCUACGGGGGAAAGGAUUUAUCGGGGUUGGAUGAGCCCGCGUUGGAUUAGCUAGUUGGUGGGGUAAGUGGCCUACCAAGGCGACGAUCCAUAGCUGGUCUGAGAGGAUGANCAGCCA